GAUACUUCCUUGAUAAAUUUCUGUAUUUCCUGUAAUAGAAAUCCCUCAUCCAUACUUGAGGCCAGACUGGAUACUUCCGAAAGGGAAGAAGAUGGAACAUGGAACAACUCAGGAAUGAGUUAUUUCCUUUUGCUUUAAUUUUUCCAGCAAUUCUGUAGAGCAUUGAUUACAGGUCUUUUUUCUACACCAGUCAGGAAGAGGGACCGCACAUUCUGGCCACCACAAGGGUUUCGUUUUGCAUGUGGCUUUUUUAGGGAUAGGAACGGACAUCUUAUCCUUUUUUGGUUUAUCCAGGGAAACAGGACUGGACAUAUUCUGUUAAAGACAAAUGAGAAGAAAACACACAUUUUCUAAAG